UACGGAGGGUGCAAGCGUUAUCCGGAUUUACUGGGUUUAAAGGGUGUGUAGGCGGUCUUUUAAGUCAGCGGUGAAAUCUCCGGGCUCAACCUGGAAACUGCCAUUGAUACUAUUAGUCUUGAAUUUUGUUGAGGUAGGCGGAAUAAGUCAUGUAGCGGUGAAAUGCAUAGAUAUGACUUAGAACACCAAUUGCGAAGGCAGCUUGCUAAACAAAUAUUGACGCUGAGGCACGAAAGCGUGGGGAUCAAACAGG
rnacentral:rRNA from 1 species